GCCCCCGUAGCUCAGUGGAUAGAGCGACGGUUUCCUAAACCGUAGGUCACAGGUUCGAUCCCUGUCGGGGGUAC
rnacentral:tRNA from 1 species